AGGGUACAAAGCUUAUCUAAGCGUCUAACUGUUAAUUAGAAGAUAACGAUCUUGCUUGUCGUUUACUCUACCA
rnacentral:tRNA from 1 species